AGAGUUUGAUCCUGGCUCAGGAUAAACGCUGGCGGCGUGCAUAACACAUGCAAGUCGAACGAUGAAACUUAACUGAUUUCUUCGGAAUGAUUUUAAGUGGAUUAGUGGCGGACGGGUGAGUAACGCGUGAGUAACCUGCCUUGCACAAGGGGAUAGCCGUUGGAAACGACGAAUAAUACCCUAUGAUAUAAACUCUUCGCAUGAAGAGCUUAUCAAAGAUUUAUCGGUGUAAGAUGGACUCGCGUCUGAUUAGCUAGUUGGUGGGGUAACAGCCUACCAAGGCAACGAUCAGUAGCCGGCUUGAGAGAGUGUACGGCCACAUUGGGACUGAGACACGGCCCAGACUCCUACGGGAGGCAGCAGUGGGGAAUUUUGCACAAUGGGGGAAACCCUGAUGCAGCGACGCCGCGUGAUUUAGAAGGCCUUCGGGUUGUAAAAAUCUUUUGUAUGGGAAGAAAAUGACAGUACCAUACGAAUAAGGACCGGCUAAUUACGUGCCAGCAGCCGCGGUAAUACGUAAGGUCCGAGCGUUGUCCGGAAUCAUUGGGCGUAAAGGGUACGUAGGCGGAUAAGCAAGUUAGAAGUGAAAUCCUAUAGCUCAACUAUAGUAAGCUUUUAAAACUGCUCAUCUUGAGGUAUGGAAGGGAAAGUGGAAUUCCUAGUGUAGCGGUGAAAUGCGCAGAUAUUAGGAGGAAUACCGGUGGCGAAGGCGACUUUCUGGCCAUAAACUGACGCUGAGGUACGAAAGCGUGGGUAGCAAACAGGAUUAGAUACCCUGGUAGUCCACGCCGUAAACGAUGAGUGUUAGGUGUCUGGAAUAAUCUGGGUGCCGCAGCUAACGCAAUAAACACUCCGCCUGGGGAGUACGCACGCAAGUGUGAAACUCAAAGGAAUUGACG
rnacentral:rRNA from 1 species